rnacentral:rRNA from 1 species
AACGAACGCUGGCGGCAGGCCUAACACAUGCAAGUCGAACGCUCGUAGCAAUACGAGAGUGGCAGACGGGUGAGUAACACGUGGGAACCUUCCCUAUGGUUCGGAAUAGCUCAGGGAAACUUGAGGUAAUACCGGAUAAGCCCUUCGGGGAAGGAUUUAUCGCCAUUGGAGUGGGCCCGCGUCGGAUUAGCUAGUUGGUGAGGUAACGGGCUCACCAAGGCAACGAUCCGUAGCUGGUCNGAGAGGAUGAUCAGCCACACUGGGACUGAGACACGGCCCAGACUCCUACGGGAGGCAGCAGUGGGGAAUAUUGGACAAUGGGCGCAAGCCUGAUCCAGCCAUGCCGCGUGAGUGACGAAGUCUUCGAUUGUAAAACUCUUUUGGCGGGGACGAUAAUGACGGUACCCGCAGAAUAA